UACGGGGGGGGCAAGCGUUGUUCGGAAUUACUGGGCGUAAAGGGCGCGUAGGCGGCUCUGCACGUUCGUUGGGAAAUCGCCCGGCUCAACUGGGCGGGGUCAGCGGAUACGGCAGAGCUUGAGCAAGCUAGGGGGCAAUGGAAUUCCCGGUGUAUUGGUGGAAUGCGUAGAUAUCGGGAGGAACACCAGUGGCGAAGGCGGUUGCCUGGGGCUUUGCUGACGCUGAUGCGCGAAAGCGUGGGGAGCGAUCCGG
rnacentral:rRNA from 1 species